rnacentral:rRNA from 1 species
CAUGCAAGUCGAACGCCUGUAGCAAUACAGGAGUGGCGAAAGGGCGAGGAAUAGAUUCCUACAUACCUCGAGGUCGGGGAUACCCCGGAGAAAUCCGGAUCAAUACCCGAUGUGGUCGAGAGAUCAAAGGUUUACCGCCUUGAGAGUGGGGAAUCUCCUAUCAGCUAGUUGGUGAGGUAACGGCUCACCAAGGCAAAGACGGGUAGCGGGUGUGAGAGCACGGCCCGCCGCAUCGAGACUGAGACACUGCUCGGACUCCUACGGGAGGCUGCAGUAACGAAUCUUCCGCAAUGCGCGAAAGCGUGACGGGGCAAUGCCGCGUGCAGGAUGAAGCCCUUCGGGGUGUAAACUGCUGUCAGGGUGCAGGAAUGAAAUGACCAUACCCAAAGGAAGCACCGGCUAACUCUGUGCCAGCAGCCGCGGUAAUACAGAGGGUGCGAGCGUUAAUCGGAAUCACUGGGCUUAAAGGGUGCGUAGGCGGAUGCAUAGGCGCUUUGUGAAAUCCCACGGCUCAACCGUGGAAUUGCUUGGCGAACCAUGCGUCUUGAGGUUGGUAGAGGUCACUGGAACGAUAGGUGGAGCGGUGAAAUGCGUAGAUAUCUAUCGGAACGCCAACGGUGAAGACAGGUGACUGGGCCAAAUCUGACGCUGAGGCACGAAAGCGUGGGGAGCAAACGGGAUUAGAUACCCCGGUAGUCCACGCCGUAAACGAUGCACACUUGGUCGGAGCGGUUUGACUCCGUUUCGGCCGUAGGAAAACUGAUGAGUGUGCCGCCUGGGGAGUACGGUCGCAAGAUUAAAACUCAAAGGAAUUGACGGGGGCUCACACAAGCGGUGGAGCAUGUGGCUUAAUUCGAAGCAACGCGAAGAACCUUACCUAGGCUUGACAUGCACGGAUAAACCCCUAUGAAAGUAGGGGUACACCCGCAAGGGCGGAACGUGCACAGGUGCUGCAUGGCUGUCGUCAGCUCGUGCUGUGAAGUGUCGGGUUAAGUCCCUCAA